AUUGAACGCUGGCGGCAUGCUUCACACAUGCAAGUCGAACGGUAACAGGGUGCUUGCACCGCUGACGAGUGGCGAACGGGUGAGUAAUGCGUCGGAACGUGCCGAGUAGUGGGGGAUAACGCAGCGAAAGUUGUGCUAAUACCGCAUACGUACUGAGGUAGAAAGUGGGGGACCUUCGGGCCUCACCCUAUUCGAGCGGCCGACGUCUGAUUAGCUAGUAGGUGAGGUAAAGGCUCACCUAGGCGACGAUCAGUAGCGGGUCUGAGCGGACGAUCCGCCACACUGGGACUGAGACACGGCCCAGACUCAUACGGGACGCAGCAGUGGGGAAUUUUGGACAAUGGGCGAAAGCCUGAUCCAGCCAUGCCGCGUGUCUGAAGAAGGCCUUCGGGUUGUAAAGGACUUUUGUCGGGGAGGAAAUCCCCAGCGCUAAUACCGCUGGGGGAUGACAGUACCUGAAGAAUAAGCACCGGCUAACUACGUGCCAGCCGCCGCGGUAAUAC
rnacentral:rRNA from 1 species